rnacentral:rRNA from 1 species
GUGUCAGCCGCCGCGGUAAAACGUAGGGGACGAGCGUUAUCCGGAUUUACUGGGCGUAAAGCGCCCGUAGGCGGCUCGAUAAGUUGGACGUGAAAGCUCCUGGCUUAACUGGGAGAGGCCGUUCAAAACUGUGGGGCUAGAGUGAGGCAGAGGAGCGCGGAAUUCCCGGUGUAGUGGUGGAAUGCGUAGAUAUCGGGAGGAACACCAGUGGCGAAAGCGGCGCUCUGGGCCUAAACUGACGCUGAGGGGCGAAAGCGUGGGGAGCGAACGGGAUUAGAUACCCCCGUAGUCC